rnacentral:rRNA from 1 species
CAGCAGCCACGGUAAUACAGAGGGUGCGAGCGUUAAUCGGAUUUACUGGGCGUAAAGCGUGCGUAGGCGGCUUUUUAAGUCGGAUGUGAAAUCCCUGAGCUUAACUUAGGAAUUGCAUUCGAUACUGGGAAGCUAGAGUAUGGGAGAGGAUGGUAGAAUUCCAGGUGUAGCGGUGAAAUGCGUAGAGAUCUGGAGGAAUACCGAUGGUGAAGGCAGCCAUCUGGCCUAAUACUGACGCUGAGGUACGAAAGCAUGGGGAGCAAACAGGAUUAGAUACCCCUGUAGUCCCUGUCUCUUAUAC